GAUGAACGCUGGCGGCGUGCCUAAUACAUGCAAGUCGAGCGAACGGACGAGAAGCUUGCUUUUCUGAUGUUAGCGGCGGACGGGUGAGUAACACGUGGAUAACCUACCUAUAAGACUGGGAUAACUUCGGGAAACCGGAGCUAAUACCGGAUAAUAUUUUGAACCGCAUGGUUCAAAAGUGAAAGACGGUCUUGCUGUCACUUAUAGACGGAUCCGCGCUGCAUUAGCUAGUUGGUAAGGUAACGGCUUACCAAGGCAACGAUGCGUAGCCGACCUGAGAGGGUGAUCGGCCACACUGGAACUGAGACACGGUCCAGACUCCUACGGGAGGCAGCAGUAGGGAAUCUUCCGCAAUGGGCGAAAGCCUGACGGAGCAACGCCGCGUGAGUGAUGAAGGUCUUCGGAUCGUAAAGCUCUGUUAUUAGGGAAGAACAUAUGUGUAAGUAACUGUGCACAUCUUGACGGUACCUAAUCAGAAAGCCCCGGCUAACUACGUG
rnacentral:rRNA from 1 species